rnacentral:antisense_RNA from 1 species
GUUUAUGGUGGAUGACCGGGAGCUUCGUAAGAAGCGCCAGUUAUCACAUGCACUGGUACGCCAAUUCCGGCUCAUCCACCGCCAGU